rnacentral:rRNA from 1 species
AACCUGCCUUGGAGUGGGGAAUAACAGACUGGAAACAGCUGCUAAUACCGCAUAAUAUGUCUGAACCGCAUGGCUCUGGACAUCAAAGAUUUAUCGCUCUGAGAUGGACUCGCGUCUGAUUAGCUAGUUGGUGGGGGCAACGGCCCACCAAGGCGACGAUCAGUAGCCGGACUGAGAGGUUGGCCGGCCACAUUGGGACUGAGACACGGCCCAGACUCCUACGGAAGGCAGCAG